UCUUAGGAAGCCCUUAAACAUAAAAACCCCUGCGUUUUUCUUCACCUUUCUUUUCUCGACUGACGACGCCUCCCAAAUAUUCAGACACCAAGCAGCGGGAGAGACAGAGACUCAGAAAUGGUGACCUACAAAUUCCAUCAGUACCAGGUUGUAGGUAGAGCGCUGCCGACAGAAAACGAUGAGCAC